rnacentral:tRNA from 1 species
CAUUAAGAAGCUGUGGAAUAGCAACAGCCUUUUAAGCUGUAGGAAGGUGAUUUAACCCGCCCUUAAUGA